GUUGGCUACGGGGAUAUGUGCCCCAUAACAAUGGGGGGUAAAAUGGUGGGCACCUUGUGUGCCAUAGCGGGCGUGCUGACCAUUGCUUUGCCUGUUCCUGUUAUUGUCUCCAAC